rnacentral:lncRNA from 1 species
GACAAGUUGGUUGGAUGUAAAAUUAGAACGAUCACUUUAUCUCUGCACGUGUUUAUACGUUCCGAGAUUCCCUGUCCGAAAGAAGAGCAGGAAUAAUUAUGAUAAUAGUAUUCGACUUAAAUUUUGCCUAACUAUUCUUUUCGUGGACCAUGGGAUGCAACAACAGCUUCACUCACUUACUAAUGUAUGUUGUAUGUUGGGAAGGGAAAAAAGUAGGAAAGUAUACAACAAUAGUUGUGUUCUUUGUCUUGCCCGGGUACAAUGGCUUCCUUCCUGGUUUCAAGGUCGACAAUAUUCUAGAAAGUCAUGUCUACGAAGUACACCUAAUUGUCACCUCCCUAGUUAUCAUACUGAGGAAGCUAAGUAGAAGUAAACUAAGAAGAAAAAGAAUUGGCGCAUAUAGACAUACGUGACUCUGGAUGUUUUUAGUGUUCUAAAGAAAAAUGUUGUAGUUUUUCAACGAGUAAUACUGGUUCCCGUUUGCUUCACAUACACAAAUUCUGCUUUACCUACUUCCUGCGCUUGAACGACUGCCCCCCACAUUGGUGAUGUGAUCAUCGCGGCGUCAUUUGGCCGAAGAGUUGUGUCUACUGAAGGGAAUACAUGGGAUGGAACAAGUAACAAACAACGAUGCAACCAUUGGAUCGCACGUGGGGAGUGUGAAAACAUUUCGACAUAUGUAGAUGCGUCACUUUUAUUGAGGUGCGAAAUGGGACGUUUCAGAGGCGAAUGCUUGACCAGGUCGCCAGGGAAUCGAACCUAACGCCCCUGAGACGCUGACAUCCUGUAGCUGGAUUUCUGCAUCGAUAAGUGGUCUGCCAACUUGCGUUAAACACUCUCUACCUCAUAUUAGAUUUAUCGACGUCUGGAGUUUGUGCGCAUGCAGCCGGUGGUAACAGAUCCCCAGGCUUCUCUAGCCCGGGUACGACCGUGACAUCACUCGUCUGAUGUCAAUGGACCGACGUCAGCGUUCUAGUGCCAAUGAACCUAGUCAUUCUGGAUGUUUCUGGCACAACCUUCUUCACUCCGGCUAUAACUGUUGUUUCCAGUGUAGUGCUCUGUAGAAUCCUGUAUUUCAGGGAAAAAGGCGGUUCACGUCUCUAAGUUGGUUACAGUCUGUAAGAAAUGAUAGAAGAGCUGAAUAUAGGAAACCAUGUGAAGCAUCUUUAGCAAAGCGCUCUCAAUUUGGACACGAUUUUAUUUUUAGUUAGAAUAAGACAUCAUCCCUCCGGCCAAGAUGACAAAAUGAUACACAUUGAUGACUUCAGGAGCUGAAAUUAAGGCUGGCACCCAGAUUACCACAUCUGCCAACCAACUCAGCAGAUCCGAUCUGAACAACGACACCUUGUUACUGUGUUUGAGCUAGGCUUGGACGACCUUUUUUGAAUGGCCUUUGCAAGUGCUGAGGCUUUCGUCUGGCACGAUUUUAAAGCACCGUUAUUAUGGGUACUGUGACGGUUCAGCGGUCCAAAAUACGUUUCUACCCUACGUGAAGCUCAAUUUACAGGAUCACAUAAAGAAAGAAUGUUGGAUAUUUCCUCUAAGGCAUCGUCACCCAUGUUGGUUCCUGGGGCCCGCAUUGUGCACUUCUUUCACUCGGUUUGUCGUUUGUCAUCAUAGGACAAAAGAAUGCACUAUCUCAUUGGAUGGAUCUUUGUCGUUACUUAGGAGUGGGACAAAUAGCCUGUGGCUUCAUUGCUCCGCAGGCUGAAUGUGAAAGCCGGGAAAAUGUGAAGGAGAAUGUCUUGUAUCUGAAGGGAAUUUCUUUCUGCUUGUGUGCAGAGGAUCGGAUUCCCCAGCUAGUGUCACGUUUCAGCUUUCCCACAUGAAGUUUGGAACACUUGGUUCAGAACGGAGCUUUUAAGUCCUCGAGAUCGUAAAGUUGGAAAGGCUUGUUUUGUUUUGAGUGUUCAGAGGCUCAAGAAACGUUUUGCUUCCCUGCUCACGUCGGAGAAGUUGGUGUCACGUUUCAGCUUUCCCGCAUGAAGUUUGGAACGCUUGGUUCAGCAGGGAGCUUUUAAGUCCUCGAGAUCGUCAACUCUUAAAGCCUUGUUUUGUUUUGAAUGUUUAGAGGCUUGGGAAACGUUUUGCUUCCCUCCUCACAUCUGAGAAGCUGGCGUAACGUGGUCGACCAAACCCUUAAUCAGUUCUGCCAGUGCGAAGGGAUCUCGUCUUGUUUCAGUAUUCUCUGAUGUGUGGAAUUCGGAACUUCUGAAGCAGGGAAAGAAAUCCGAGUGGGAAGCGUUCUGACUGAGCCUGGAAAAAACCGAGUGAGGAGGUGAGGCUAGUGAUGGGGUCAAGUGAGUUGUUGAUUCAUGGCCAAGAUAAUCGUGGAGGCGGUGAGGUGGAAAAGAAAUCGGAGAUUCCGCUCUACACAAUGCAAGCCUUGUGGGACGGAAAAAUAUCGCUGAAGGAUUUUGAAGUGGUAGGAAUGGAUAAACCUAUAAUACCUCACGAUGUCUUUGAGCCGGAUGAAGCGUUACCCGUCAUCGAUGUAGAAGCGCUCCUUGGUGCUGACAACGAGGCUCGACUUGAGAACAUGGUCAGAAUGCUAGAAGCAGCAAAGACGUGGGGUUUUUUUAAAAUUCGCAACCACGGCGUGUCCCUGGAAGUGGUAUAUACCUCGCACCCGACUCUUUUCCAAAUGUAGAAAACGCGCGAAUUGCUUUGUAGUUCACUUCGAUUGGUUGGUGAAGUGGCUUCAAAGCAUAGUACGGCUGUGGGGCUGUCGGGUUCGGCAGUCUGGAAAUGAUAUACUGGCCUUAAUGCCCUAGCUCACAUAGAUAGAAGUGUCUCAUUUCAGCACAUAGUGUGUUAAUCUCAACAUUAGAUUGGUUCUGCAUACGAGCCAAUCAGCUUGAGUUCCAGUUCACUUGAGCAGUCUUCUUCUAUCUCCAAAGAGAGCACCUAAAGCGGAGAGAAGUCGCAGAACAUGCAGAAUUCAUAGCAGCGUUGACAAAAAGUAGUUGUUGUAGAGAUUCAAUGUCAACACACUGGAUACGAACCACUUUCAUGUGCAGUGGAUGACUGACCAAUGUGCGAGGAUUGAUAUACAGGUGAAGAAAGUGGAGGCGAAUGUGAAGAAAUUCUUCGCAUUGCCCAUGGAGAAGAAACUAUUGGUAAAAGCCAACAACUUCUCUUUCGGGUAUGUUGGGGGAUCGCCAGUCAGCUGGAAAUACAAGUGGUGGCUAGAGGGGCUACAUAUGAAAGUAAACAUUCGACCAUCUAGUCAACCAAUUAUUCCUGCACUCUUGUUCAAAUGCUCGCACUUGUGACUUAUUCUUAUUAAAGGCUUCCAGUAUCAUUUCUGAGCCUGCAAUCCACCUGUCUGAUGAACUCUUGGCAGGUUCAAGACGAGGCAAUAAAGAAUAUUGUGGACCUGGUGUGGUCCGAUGAUGAAGAGUUUUCUACAGAAUUCACGUGAGCACAAACUCCCAUUUUUCCACGUGUUCCUCAUUCGAACUUGACUAUGAUGUCACAUCAGAGCAGGUUUAAAUCGCAUAUUUCUAACUUCCGUCAUCGAAUACGUACAACAAUGCAGAGCUGAUUUGACAAACUAUUUCGCCAUCAUGCGAGAUCUGUCACGUCUGAUCGUAGAAUGCCUGACUGAAGGCCUCGGCCUUCCCCGUGACACUUACACCAAACUCGAAACGCCGAACGCCAUUUGCAACGCACGUGUGAAUCACUACCCCGCAUGUCCCGAUCCGUCCAGUGUGUUCGGCAUCCCAGGCCACACCGAUCCCCAAAUGCUGUCUAUUCUGUACCAAGACGACGUCGGAGGCCUGCAAGUGCUCAAGGAUGGCAAGUGGAUCGGCAUUCGUCCCGAUGACUCUACCUUCGUGGUGAAUCUGGGCGACACUUUUCAGGUAAGGAAUCACUUAGCCAUGACUAUCACCUCCUAGAAUGUAAAUUCUUUCAACUUCCAGUAGCACUUGUAGCACAACUUUUUAGGCUAAUUCAUUUACUUUUAAGCAGGUCAUUUCGAACGGCAUUCUGCACAGCGCAGCCCACCGAGUCGCGGUGAACACCACCAGGUCCCGGUACGCAACCAUCUAUUUCUACGGGAUCGACAAUGAGAUUCCACUCUUCAUCCCACCCCAACUUGUCACUAAAGAGAGGCCGCUUAAGUACCGGCCCUUCACUGUAAAUGAAUAUAGAGAACACCUAGUGAUAAAACAAGUUCCUAUGGAUGGCGUCAAGUAUCUAGAGAUGGAGCCCGAGAUCCAAGACGCUGCAUCGCCAUCCAACUCCUCACAAUAACACACUUUUUUCGAGUUAUGUAAAUUCAAAACAUGUAAGCUUCCGAGUGCUGAAGGUGUAGAGAUUCAGUCAGACCUGCUGUCCAACCUGAAUUAAGAAGAGUGUCUGACAUGGUACGUUAUAGAUGACUACUGAAGCCAGGUGAUUUAGAGCGAAUCACCUGCAACAUGCAUGUCCGGAACUCAAAGAAAGAAUAACACCCCAUGUUAGUGACAGACACUUAGAGAAUUAUGUGGAGUGUACACGUUGCAGUUCGUCGCAGUGAAUUCCUGGGCUGGAAGAUUUUCAGCAAGUGCGUCUGAUUUACUGGUGCAUUGUCGAUACGGGGUUGUUUCUUCGGAUGGUGGAGUCGGACCCGGAGCUUCUGCACUACCUCCAGCUGAAUCUCGUGUGCUUUGUCCCGAGUGCACCUGAAUUGUCGGAGUAGGUUUCCUUUGUCCAGUUCUACUCCUUUACGAGUGAAAAGUGGGAUUUUAUUAGCACACAUGGAAUCGGAUACAUUUUAUUCUUUUUCGACACAUGACGAGUAUUCCCGUUGCAUUGAUAGAUUGCAACCGGAUACGUUCAACGCAAAGGGAUAGGUAACUGAAAUGCUCAUGCCUACCCGAAAUAGCGAAUCAAGUGGCCUAUAUUUUCAGCUAAAUCUCUGCAUAGCCCAGUGUCGAACCAUCUAUUCUGUCGCCACAGAGCCCAUGGAUAAUUGCUCUAGGCUGGAGUAUACACAGUAAAUGUUAAAGGAAAAGAACACGCUGGCUUAGUAAAGCAACUGUAGAAAUUUUGCUGCAAAGCCAGUAUGUCUUCCCCCCUUCUUUUGGAGAAGAUGUGUAUCGAUCCGUAAAGUAUGCAAUCAUCGUCCAGUAAAAUACAAUUGGACGAAAAGUGGCAUUGAAUGCGUAUUACACAAGCCUGUAAAAAGACUAUCAACCUCAAGGGAGAAGGACUUGUAUCUAACUUCUGUCACAAUAUUUUAUUUAAUGGCAUUACUGUAUCGCAUUGUCGCCACCCCUGCAAGUGAAUUGUGCAAGUUUUAGUGUACUCCGUAUCAAUUAGAACAUCGACAUAGGCAGACCAAUGCCGAGAAAACAAGUGAACAAGGGUCAGGCUGAGAAUUAGAUCAGGAUUGGGGUAGUAAAUCAGAAUCAUGUAUAGAUAGAGUGAAGACAUUGUGAAGGUAAAGAUAAAAUGUUGUGUCAAAUAUUGUCAAUUGUUGCUAGUUUUGUAAUGUGUGGACUAAUUUUGCAUCAAUUCAAAUAAUGAAUUGAGUUUCUUGGUUACAAGAAGCAAGCAAUUGUAGUGCCAUGAAAUCAAAUUGGAAAAUAAUACUUUAAGUUAAAAACCUAAUUUAAAAGACAUGUUACACAGCAUUAUUUUUUAUUUUUUAUUUUUAAAAAAACAUUUGUGCAUAUUUCAAUAUCAGAAUGUCAGUUUUAAUGUGAGUGCAAUAUGGAAUCCUGUUGCAAAGAUAGAUGAAAUUGAACCUAUCCAGAUAUUUGAUUGUCUAACAUUAAACAUGAUUAUAGAAUAAUUUGAAAGAGUAACCAAUUAAAUAGUUGUGGGAAUUGAAGAAGUAUAGAAAGAAAAUCUUGGCAACCAUAAAAAGAACUUAAACUUAGAUUUUGUUUGGUAUUUAAAUCUUUAGUUGGAUGAUAAUUGGAAAUACAAGUAAUUAACUUUUUAAAUAAGAAAAUAAAUGCACUUAUAAAAACAAUUCAUAUAUAAGGUGCAAAAAUUGCUUGGUAACAAACCAAAACAUUAAAUGGUUGUUUAGUUCUUAUUAGAUACAAAUAAAAUCUUUCAGAAAAGAAUAUAAAAAAAAAUAAUUAUUGGUGAUGUUUUAGAAGCUAGUAUCAACAAAAUAAAUAAAUAAAUAAAUAAAUAACCUUCAAAGAAUCUUCAAUAAUUAAAAAUCAGCUCAUAUUAUUUUAAAACAAUAAUGCAUAUCACAUAUAUGGUACAAAAGAUAGAUUUUGAUUAUUGGGGUUUAAAAAGAAAUAAAAUUAUAAAUAUUUGAAAAAAUACAUAAGAUUAUUACAUCCUUAAGAUAGUACAAAAAGAAUGAAAACUUAGGUAAUAGCAACCUUACAAAAAUCUAAAGAAGAACUAUAAGGACUAAGAUGGUAAAUCAAAUCCUAGUAUUAGAAAAAAUAAAGUGUUUAAAGUCAUAUCUAUUUUAGUCUAUAAUUAUUUCAAAAGAGUUUAUUUUGACUUAGGCAUGAAAUAAAACUAACACAAUUUAGAUAUCUAAGAUAUGACAAGACAAUCAAAAAGUAAUUAGUAGUAAUAAGAAAAAUUAUAUAUUUUUUUGGAUUUUAAUAUUUUAUUAAUAUACACCUAUAUAUAUGUAUGUAUAUAUAUAUAUAUAUAUAUAUAUAUAUAUAUAUGCAUAAUUUAUUAUUUUAGAUAUUUCUAAUAAAAAAUUGGUGCAAUAUUAAAUAAGUUCAUAAUUAUUAAAAUUUAUCAGUCACUUGGUUUUACAAACAAGAAUUUAUUAAAAAAAUAGUAAUAAAAAAUAAACUAAAAGGCAUAAGUUAUAUAACAUAAAAGAAAUAAAAAAAUCUAGUUAAUCAAGACUAUUCAAUCAUGUAAACAAAGUAGGAAUCAAAUAAAAAAUAUAUUUUGAUUAAUACAUUUGUGGAAAGAAUAGUACAUUAGCUAUAAUAUCUAAGAUACACUAACACUAUUGUAGCAUACUUUCAUGUAUAAGAUAUUUUGAUUAAAAAAAAGACAAUAUUUUGGUAUUGAUUAAUAUACAUAAAGUUGAUUGAAUUUGUUUCUAUAUUUGUUGUAAACUAAAUCAAACUUACAAUUGAAACAUUAUUAAUUAAUUGUUCCAAAAUAUAUUGUAUUUUGGUUUUAAUUCUUACAUGUCUCAAGCUCAAGGUAGAGAAUGAUUGAAAUUAUGAUAUUCAUAAAUAACAUUGUAAUUAAUGUUUUCAUUCUUGAAGCAUAUUAUAAUUAAUAAAAUUUUAAGGUCAAACUGAGAAUAAGGAUUUAAUGGUUACUUGUAUAAAUGUCUUCUUUUAUAACUUAAAAAGAAAGUAGAGAAAAUAAUAUUGAACAUGGUAGAGACAUUAUAAUACAAGACAUUUAAAAGUACCAAAAUUAAAAGAAGAAUUAUAUUAUUUUAAUAGACUUAGAAGUAUAUAUAUAAAAAAUAUUAUUUCCAUCCUAAAACCUAAAUUAUUUUUUAAUUUCUUAUUUUAUUAUAAAUAAAUAUCUUCUUAAAAUUUUAAUAUUUGAUUAGUAUUAUUAAAAUAACACUGGAAAGAUAUAUAUUUAAGAUUUUUUUUAAAUGAUAUUUUUAUUUGUAUUUUGUUUCAAAAAAAAAACUUUAAAUAUUCUAUUGUUGUCACUAUAUAUGAUCACAUUAAAAAUUUAUACUUUUCAAAAUUAAGAUGAUAAAUUCAACUUAAAAGCCAUUUGGAAUCCAAACUUGUUAAAUCAAUUGGAAGAAAAAUUAUUUUGUACAUAAAUCACAUAAAAAAGACUACUAGAAAAGAAUUAAUAGUAGCCUUGCACAAAAUAAUUUGCUUGCAAGAAGUACUUGGUAUUGGAUUAGAUAACUAAAAGACUUAAAAAUUAAAUUCUAUCAUGUUUUAAAUUUCAAAGAAAGAUAGGAGUUUGAGCCACAUAUGAUAAAUCUUAAUACAUUGAGUUAAAAUCUUUGUAGUUUUAAAAAUUAGUAAAAAUUUUAAAGAAAUUAUUGGAAGAAUAGGCUAAAAUCUAAUAUAGAUUUCCAUAGGAUGUGAAAGCAAGAAAAACAAUAGUUAUGUAAAAGAUUACAAUUUUAGAAUAAAAAUAAUAACAGUAAAAAAGUUUAUUAAAUAAUUAUAACAAGUACUAACAUAAAAAAUAAAAAACAUUAUUAGAAAGUAUAAGAAAGAAAAAUUAUAUUAAAAAAUGGAUAUAAUUUUUUUUUAAAGUGAGCUUUAAUAAGUAAUUAUAAGUAUUUUUUUAAUUGACUAAAGGUUGUGAAAGUGCAAUGCAAAAGGCAUGUAAGCAAGAAAUAUGCAACCUUACUUCUUCCAUUAUCAUUUUAAAAUCCACUUUUGAUAAUAAUAAUGUAUUAUUAAUUUAAUAUAAUAUCAAUAUAUAAAUUUCAAAGCUAUAAAUUAAAAUUUCUAAGAUAGCAUAAGAGAAAAUCCAAAAAGAAGAGAUGCAUAAAUCAAUAAGAAGUGGCAUUAUCUAUAGUAAUACUACUUUCUAGCCAUGGCUAACAAAAUUAAGUAAUCAAGUUAUCUCUUUAAUUUAAUUUAAAUGUUUCUUAUAUAAAUUAUAUUCAUUUAUUUAUUUAUUUAUUCAAAAUUUUUAUUGAUAUAAUAUUCAUCUCCUACCACAUCCAAAAUCAAUCAAUUUGGUGAAUUUUAGUUAAUUAUAGACCAUAAAAGGUCAAGUUCUUUAGAUAACACCAUAUGUAAGAAUUAAAGUAAUCUUCAUUCGAUUUCUUUGAUUAAUAAAUUCAAACAUUAUUUUAUGUAAUAUUAAAAUUUAAUCAUCUAUAAAACAAAGAAUUAUUUUUUGAAGAAUUCAAUUAAUUUUUGAUGUUUUCUUAUUUAAAAAUAUUAGCCUUAUAAUAAAAAUGAAUUCAAAUAUUUAAAAAGUAAAUUACAACUAACUGGAGUUUUUUAGACUAAAAGCUACUCUAAGUUGUAUUAAGAUUAUAAAUGGAGAAAAAAAAGUUAUGUUCAUUUUGAUUUAUUCAUUUAAAAAUUAUUCAGUAACAAAUAUUGGAUUUUUCAUAAAUGGUAAAAUUUUAUAGAUUGAAAAAAAAUUCUUUAAAAAAACUCAAAAUUAAAAAAAUAUCUAUACAUCCGAUAAAAUAUAUAGAGAAAUAUGGUAAAUUUUAUGUCUACAAACUGUUUUUUUAAUUUAUUGGAAAAGAUUUGAACACAAAAAAUUCAUAUUAUUCUAUUACCUAAUAUGUAGUAUUAAAAUGCACCACACAUUUGGAUGUAGAACCUUAUAUAUAGUAUGAAAAUGUACCACACAUUUAGUUUUAGAUUUUUAUUGUAUAAUUGUCUUAUAAUAAAAAAAUAAGGUGCUUAUUAAAAAAUCCUAAUAAAUCUUAACAAGCUCUAAGCUUAUUAUAAAUUCUAAUUAGCAAACCACAAAAUAAUGUUAUAUUUUUUAGACUUUUAAAAUUUUAACUGAUUUUUAAUAUUAAUAAAUAAUAUAAAUAUUUUUAAAUGGCACACUUUAUUUUUAUUUUCUUUUAGAUAAGAAAAAUCUUAAUAACUAAAAUAAUAUAUAUAUACAUAUAUAAGAUCCACAAUAGUAAAAUUCUUGUUGUUGUGGAUUCAUUCCAAAAACGUCAUAGCCUAGAAGACCCUUCUUAUUUAAUCACAAAUUAUGUUACUUGAAAUAAUAUUAAAUAUCUUUUGCCAUUAGUAUCAAAGACAAGAAUUCAAAAAAUGUAAAUAAAUAAGUGAAACAUUUUUUAAAGAGAGAUGACAAAAAAAGAAAGAAAUAAAUAUGUAUAUUCAAGAAGAAACUAGAAUAGCUAUUGCCAAAGAUUAGACAAUUGGAGACUCUUGAAAUUAUAGUAAAAUUAACAAAAGAAUUGAUAAAAGUGAGGAAGGUGUCACUCUUGCCUCUACACGUAUUAUCUAACUACAGGCUAAAUAAUAACAUUCUAUGAGACUUCUAAUAUAUAUCCAAGUUGUAGACUAUAUGUCUAACUUCUAAGAUAUGUUUCUUACAUAUGUACUACAUGAUAUCAUAGUUAUAACUAAUAUUAAUAAUUACUUAGAUAAGCGGAGUCAAGUAGAAAAUAAGUAAAAAUGAAUAAAUUAUAUAAUAUCUUAUGGAUAUGCUUCUUAGAAGCUUUAUACAUGCAAAUUUGAAUUUAUAUAUGUUUGUACAUGAUUGAUAGGUUGAAAAGUUGGCCAAAAAAUUGGCCAAAUGUUACACAUAUUAGCUACUUGUGGUACAAGUUGGCUACAUUGCAUACAUACAUGAAACAUUUUUUGCAAGUUAGAUAUGUGUUCAACAAGUUUGAUACUUAUCAAAGGUCUUAUAGAACUUUGUUACAUAGCUUCUAAUUAGAUAGUAUAUAUUGAGGUAAAAAAAAGGUCUUUUUUACUUUUAUCAAUCACUUUUUUGUUCUUAGUUUAAUUUCAAGAGUUUAUAGUUUUUUUUAAUCUUUAAUAGUAGCCAUUCUAAUUUUUCUUGAAUAUUUAUAUUAACUUUUUUUUUUUGUCAUUUCUCUUUGAAAAACAUAUCAUUUUUUAUUUUUAUUCUUCAAUUCUUAUCUUUUAUAGAUUCACAAAAAUAUACUUAUAAUAUUAGAACUUUUGCUUUUUUUGAUUAAAAAUAUAUUUUCUUUUUCUCUUGCAAAGACAUAAGUAUAUUAGAUAUUAUAGAUUAUUUACUUCUAAAUUAAUAUUUUUCAUAAAAUUUUCUUUUUUUUAAUAUUUUCUUUUUUUUAAUAUAUUUUUUUCUUAUUUUGAGUAAUAUUAGAUGACUAUUUUUAUUAUUUGAUUAUGGUAGAGCUUGUUGAAAUAAAAAAUGCAAUGGCAUAAAUAAAAGAAAAAAUAAAAAAAAUAAUGUUUACAAUGCAUAAACUCAAUUCACCACCAUAGGGAACAAUAAGAUUGAUUAGAAAUAAAGAUAUAAAUAUGAUUAAAGUUACUUAAAUAUGGACUUCAAAUCAUAUUACUUCUUUUAUGGUGGAACAUUACUAAAGUAUUAAAGAACUAAGAGUUGGCUUCCUUGAAAAGUUUGAUGGUACAAGAUUCAAGUUUCAAAGAUUUAUCAAUUAAGUAAACUAAUGAUUGAGCUUCAAUUUCAAAGUUUUCAAGUUACUUUAAUUUCUUUAUUUUACUUCAGUUUGUCUUUACAAGUCAAAAAUAUAAGUGGAAUUGAAAUUCAAAAAUAUUUUUUGAUAAAUAUUCAAUAUUAAUUUAUAAAUUAAAAAAAAAUUGACAUCUCUUGUUGUUUCUAAAUUUUUUUAAUCAAAAAUAGUUUAAACUUUCUUAGGAUCCAUCAUAAGGCCAUUAUUUGACAUGAUAUAUCCUAAAAAAUCAACUUAAAUUAUAUAAAAUAUAUUCUUUUCUAUCUUAGCAUAUAGUCUUAGAUCUCUAAGUUUUUAUAACAAACAAAAAAUAUGAAAUUCAUAUUCUUUAGUAUUCUUAGAAUAGAUUAAUAUAUAAUUUAAAUAACAAAAGAUAAAAUCAAUUAAAAACUCUAGAAAGACAGCAUUUAUAAGACAUUGAGAAGCAAGUGGUGCAUUUGUGAGUGUAAUAGGCAUGACAUUAUAUUUAAAAUAUUCAUACAUGGUUUGAAAUGUAGUAUUUUAUUCAUCUCCUUUAUUAAUGUGUAUUAAAUUAUAUGCUUUUCAUAGAUCUAUUUCUAUAUAGAUCUUGGCUUGAUUCAAUUAAUGAAGAAUGUAUAGGAUAUCUAUUUUUGAUGGUAAUUUUAUUGAGCCUUCAAUAAUCUAUACACAUUUAUAAUAAUAUAUUUUUUUUUAUUUAUAAACAAGAUAGGAACUCUUGUUAGAAAUUUUGAAUGGUGUAUGAAGUUCUUUGCCAUAUUUUUAUUAAUGUAUUCUUUAAAUUUAAGCAAUUUAUAUUACAAUAAGUUGUUGAUUGGUCCAAAUAGUAAUUGAGCUCUCUCUUGAAGGCCAAUUGAAUAAUGAUAAGGAUUAAUAAAAUUAUUAAUGAUGCUUUAAAAAGAUAUUUAUAUUUUUUUUGCUAAUCUUAAUAUUGAUUUACAAUAAUGCUUGAAGUUUUUUUACCAUUAAAAAUUGGUGUGGUACAAAUAACAAAAAGUGACUCUUUUUUUGCAACAUGCAUGAAAAUUCUUAUACACAUAAAAAAGAAUUUGGUUGUAGUAGGCUUAUGACUUUUUAUUUACUAAGAAAAAAUAUUAGUUAUGUUUUGCAAAAAAUUGAGAUUCUAAAAAAUCCAAUCUAUUUGAAGAUUAUACUUUUUUCUACGACAACAACCUUGAAAUAAUUGAAUUAGAAGUAAAUCUAAUAAUAUUAAAUGACACUACGCUAUUGUGACUAUUUAUUGCUAAAUAUAUAAGAAUGAUUUUAUACAUAACAUCUUUAAAAGCAAUGGCCAACUAUCUAUGACUUCUACAUGUAAGUUAAGUUUUCUUUCUUAAGAAUAUUUUGAGCAAUAUACUUAGAUUUUGUUCAAUAUAAACACAAUUCUUCUAAACAAUAUUAAAUCCUUUUUUGCUUAGUAAUAGGUUUAAAAUGUAUUGUGAUGAAUUUUUUGUUAAUAAUUUUUAAAUAUUUGUCUUAAAAAAUAUUUUUUUGCUAUUAAAUUUUAAUAAAAUUAAAAGUUAUUUUUAUAAUUCUUAAAUUAAAAUUUAAAAAACUAAUUAUUAUAUUUUAUAACUAAAUAAAUUAUUUCACUCAAUGUUUGAGUAUUAUAUAAGUUUAAUAUUAAUUUCUUUAUUUCAUAUUAUAAUCCAUAGAAAAAUUAGUCAAUAAGUGCAGUAUCAUUUAAUUUGAUAUUAAUUAUAAGUUUUUAGAAUUAUAAAGUACAUAAUGUUAUUAAUUGAUUUUUUAAUAAAAAAUACAUAAUUUAUUGGUUGUAAUACAAAUUGUGUCAAAUUUAUCAUACAUAAAUCAAAAUUCUACCAAAAUGUACUUCAAAUUAUUUAGUUUUAGAUCAUAUUGUUCAAAAAAAGAGAUAAAAACCAUGAUAAAGAAAAAUUUGAAAAUAAUAUUCUAAUAAACCUCACUUGUAAUCUUGAAAAUAGAUAACUUUAAGAUUGAAGUUUAAUUUUUAAUUAUACUUAAUUGAUUAAUCCUUGAAACUAUUAUCUUGUACCAUUAAAAUUUUCAAAUAAGGCAAUUCUUGGUUCUACGACACUUCAUCAAUGUUCAACCAUAUAAAAAGUAAUAUGAAUUGGUGUACAUAUUGAAGCAACUGUAAUUAUCUAUAUAUCUUCAUUUUCUAUCAAUCUUUUUGUUUAUUGUCGUAGUGAAUUGAAUUGGUGCAUUAUAAAUAUUAAUUUCUUUAUUUUUUCUUAUAUUUGUAUUAUUGCAUUUUUUAUAGAUUUCUUUUUUAUCAUCAUAAUACAAUAGAAAAGAAAGCAUUACUCAAGAUAAGUUAAAGAAGAGAUUCAAGAAAAAUUAAAUAAAUCUAAAAAUAAUAUUAUUUUAAUAAUACAUAACUUAAAAAUUUUAAUACUCUUACAUCUUAUCAAUAAAUAGAAAGAAUCCAUUUUUAAUUAAGAAAAUACAAAGUUUUGAUCUUGUAAGUAUAAUCUUGUCAAUCUAUCAAAGACAAGAACUUGAAGAAUGUAAAUAAAUAAGUGAGAUAUUUUUUAAAGAAAGAUGAUAAAAAGAAAAUAAGUCAAUAUGUAUAUUCAAAAAGAAAUUGAAAUAGCUAUUACCAAAGAUUAAAAAACUAGAGACUCUUGAAACUAGACUAAGAGCAAAAAAUGAAUUGAUAAGAAUGAAGAAGGCCUCAUUCUUAUUCUAUAUAUAUUAAUUAACUAAAAACACAUAGCCACAUUCUAUAAGACCUCCAAUAUGUGUCUAAUUUACAAGACACAUGUCUAUCUUACAAGAUAAGUUUCUUAUAUGUGCACCAUUUGGCCAAUAUGUGCAAUAAGUCACCAAUUUGUUGGCCAAGUUUUUAACCUAUCAAUUACUUAUUGAUACUUAGAAAGUCAAAUUUGCAUUUGUAAAGCUUCUAAAAAGCUACUCCACAAGAUAUUAUUAAAUUUACUUACUUCUGCUUAUUUCUACUUAAUUCUUUCAAUCUAAGUAAUUUCUAAUAUAAAUAUGUAUGUCAAUGACAAAUACAUAUAUUAAAAUAUUGUUCAACUUUUGGAACAUGUCUUUGUUAUGAUUUUUAUUUAAUAUUAUAUGUUAUCAUGGAAAGCAAUAAGACUUAUCAAAAAAAUUGUGUAUAUGUUCUUAUCUUGCACAAAAAGAAAAAAAAUACCACUUAUUAUUAACAAUAGAUAAUUCUUUUGAAAUAGAGAAAUAUUAUCUUUAAGCUAUUAAAUCAACAAUUCUAGUAGGUACUACUUUUUUAGACAAAUUUUAUUCUAAUACAUUAAUAUACCUUAUUUUUUAUUUAUGAAAACAAUCUUCAUAAUCAUAAGGAAAAUAUUUUUUUUUAUUUUUAAUAGAUAAAUUUAUUCUAAAAGGUCAAAUACAAUUAUGUAAACUUUAAGUAUGGAACAAAUUUUGAAUAAGAUGAUAUUUUAAGUAUGAUGAAAUUUUGAGUUUUAUUUUACGAGAUUGUUAAUGGUUUCAAAUAUUAGAUUCUCUUAAAGAAUUUAUUCAAUCUUUUGAUACUUGUUCACAAGCAAAGACUCCGUGUCAUUAAUUCUAUAAACUUCUUGAACCUCUAUUUAUUUUAAGGCAUUAUUAGUUUUUUUAUUUAAAAAACUUUGUUAUAAAUCUAUCACUUCAAGAUUCUUGCGACUAAAUUUUUAUAAUGGUAGUUUAUCAAAUCAAAAUGAUAUAUUUUAUAACUUGUACAAAAACUAUUACCAGUUAAAAAAAUUCAAAAAAUUUAAAAAAAUUUAUUAGUUAUGUUUAUGUUAGGGACAUAGUCCUUAGAACCUUCUAGAGACAAGUUUCUAGAACCUUCUAGAGACAAGCUUCUAGAACCUUCUAGAAGUAAGUCUCUGGAACCUUCUAGAAGCUUCUUAGUUGGUAGAAGAUGUUAGGGACAUAGUCCUUAGAACCUUCUAGAGAUAAGUUUCUAGAACCUUCUAGAAGCAAGUCUCUAGAACCUUCUAGAAGCUUCCUAGUUGGUAGAAGUUGCUUGAGAAGCUUCCUAAAUAGGAGUAUAUAUUGGAAUCGAGGCUGAAGAGUUCUUCAGUCUCGACAACACAUCUCUUGGAGCUCUAGCUCACCUCUCUGGUGUUGUUUUUGUAUUCAUUUGAUUAAUCUAGUUCUUGCCAAUUCUUCUUGAACUUCUUGGUAGAUAUCAAGUCUGUAUUCUGUGUCCGUGACAGUUUGUCGAGACUUCACUCACCUCAGAUAUCAGAGCUAGUUUCUUCUUUGUUAGAGUGUAGAUUAUCUCUCUGCUUGGAAGUGUACUAGCACUUUAGAGGUUGCGGAUUACCCUCCUCUAAACUAAUACUUCUUUUCUUAUAAUAUUGGAGUCUUAUUCUUCUUGGAGAGAGUAGAUUACCCCUUUUCUUGAAGCUCUUAAGGCAUUUUAGAGGUUGCUGAGUACCCUCCUCUAAACCAAUAUUGUCUUCUUGUAGAGUCAUUCCUGUCCUUCUCUUAGAAUGGUCGGGGGCCAAGACAUUAGUAUGACGGAAAGUUCAGAGUCCAAGUUAGAUGCUAUCAUGAAUGCCCUCGCUACAUUAUCACAAAGAACUGCAGAGAUUGAAGGAGUCAUGGCAAGGCUUCAUAAUGAUGGAGCAUUUGAGAUGGCACAAUCUAGGUUGCACCAGCUUCAAACUUCUACACUUGGAGAAGCAACUUUGCCUCAGGUUCGACAAGCACCGCUGGUUCUACAACAUAAGGAACCCCGAGUUAGCCUUCCGGAUAAGUUCGAUGGUACACGUUCCAAGUUUUGAGGAUUCAUCAACCAAAUCAAGUUGAUAACAGUUUUACAGCCCGAACGCUAUCUAACGGAGGAGUCACAUGUUGGGCUUGUUGGAACCUUACUUACAGGACAAGCUCUAUCAUGGUUUGCUCCUUUGUUUGAGAAACGAUCGUCCAUACUAAACAACUUUGAAACCUUUUUGGAGGCAUUUGCGGAAGCAUUUGGUGAACACGACAAGGUUCGAUGGGCUACAACAAAGAUCCAAUCACUACGACAAGGGAUGCGUUCUACAUCAGUCUAUGCAUCGAACUUCAGGCAAUUAGCAUGUGACAUCAAUUGGGAAGAAGAAGCGUUGAUGAGUCAAUUCUAUUAGGGUUUAAGGGACGAUGUGAAGGAUUUACUGUUAACUCUUCCUGAUCCGCAAACGCUCAACGAAGCUAUUAGCCAAGCUGUGAAAUGCGAUAACCGCCUAUUCCAACGUCGCCAAGACCAACGUUCAAGACAACAUACGGUUCGCCACACCCCAACUAUGUCGGCAAGCAGCGUGAAUUCACAUUCACAGGUAGAAGACAUGUAAAUUGAUGCGGUACGUGUCAAAUCUCUUACUCUAGAAGAAAAAAAAGCGGCGUAUGGAGGAAGGUCUAUGCUUGUAUUGUAGUGAAGAAGGCGACAAAGUUGGAAACUGCCCCAAGAAGCAAAAUCGACGUAUUAUCAAGACUAGGAGUGCGUUUAUUCAGGAAAACGAAGAUGCCCAGCCAUAAUAGGAACCGUGCGGUUGGACAGUGAAAUAUCGCAACAACAACCAGGUUCCUUUCUUUCCGCUCAACCUGUCCUUUGUUUUACAAUCCCUUUGCUUAUUGGCCCUCAGAAAUUGAGAACCUUAGCAUUAUUAGAUUCGGGAACAUCUGCUUGUUUCUUAGAUGAAGAAUUUGCAAGGCGUCAUAAGAUCCCUUUAGUACAAAAAUCCAAACCUGUUCACGUUGAGGUCAUAGAUGGACGACCUUUAUUGUCUGGUAGUGUCACCCAUGAAUCAGAACCUGUAGAAGUGACGUUUAAGGACCAUAGUAGUCAUAUUAUUUUCAAUAUUAUUAGAACCCUAUCAAAUCCUGUUAUUCUUGGUCUUUCCUGGUUGGAAAAGCAUAACCCAUCUAUAGAUUGGAAGUUGCGGAAGAUGACCUUUCCCACAAAACCACCCAAGAGCAAGCCUAGUAGAAAACCCCGAAUAGAGAAAUCCUUAUUUAUUGGAGCAAGAGCGUUUAUAAGAUUGUCCAAGGGAGGCACACCGUUUGUCAUUUAUGCGGCUCCAACUACCGGGGAGAAGAUCUCGACAGCAAGUAUACCGGAGCAAUAUAAGGAUUUUAAAGACGUGUUUCAAAAGAAAAAUGCCGACAUGCUACCAAAACACAGACCAUAUGAUUGCACCAUAGACUUACAGGAAGGAGCACAACCGCCUUUUGGCCCAAUCUACAAUCUAUCGCAGAUGGAGUUGGCGGAAUUGCGGAAGUAUAUCGACGAGAAUCUAGUCAAGAACUUCAUCCGUCCUUCAAAAUCAUCAGCUGGAGCACCCAUCUUAUUUGUGAAGAAGAAAGAUGGCUCGUUGCAGAUGUGCGUGGACUAUCGAGGCCUCAACAAGGUAAGAAAGAAGAAUCGUUACCCGUUAUCCUUGAUUUUUGGUCUCUUAGAACAACUUGGACGUGCAAGGAUCUUUACAAAAAUUGAUCUAAGGGGAGCUUACAACCUCGUACGAAUCAAGGAAGGAGAUGAGUGGAAGAUAGCGUUCCGUACAAGGUAUGGCCAUUUUGAAUAUAAUGUCAUGCCCUUUGGUCUUACCAAUGCUCCAGCGGUCUUUCAACAUAUGAUGAAUGACAUUUUCCGAGAGUACCUUGACGAUUUUAUUGUCAUCUAUUUAGAUGAUAUUUUGAUAUUCUCCAAAAAUGAGGAAGAGCAUGAAAAAUACGUUCGUUUGGUAUUGGAGAAACUACACGAGCGAGGGCUAUAUGUCAAGUUGGAGAAGUGUUUAUUUCACCAAAUAGAGAUGGAGUUUCUGGGGUUCGUUGCGACUACGAAAGGCUUGAAGAUGGACCCCAAGAAGGUGGAAGCAAUUGUGUCUUUGGAGGUUCCGAAGACGGUUAGAGACGUACAAUGCUUUCUUGGUUUUGCCAACUUCUAUCGGAUCUUUAUCAAGAAUUACUCUCAAGUUGCUGCUCAUCUCACUCAGUUGACAUGCAAAGAUAAGCUGGAAUGGGGACCUCUAACAGAGAAGGUGUUUCAAAACCUGAAGACCGCAUUUACUAUGGCUCUAAUCUUGAUACAUCCAGACUUUACAAAGGCCUUCUAUUUAGAAACUGAUGCUUCGGAUUUUGCUUUGGGAGCUGUACUUUCACAAAUGGGAGAAGACAAGAAGCUCCAUCUGGUUGCAUUAUAUUCUCAAAAGUUCUCUACUACUGAAAUCAAUUAUAAGAUCCACGAUAAGGAACUUCUUGCUAUAGUGGAUUCUUUCCAAGAAUGGCGUCACUUUCUUGAAGGAGCUGCACAUCCAGUGACCGUAUACACAGAUCACAAGAAUUUGGAGUAUUUCAUGUCGGCUCGAGUUUUAAAUCAACGUCAAGCUCGAUGGAGUAUGUUGCUAUUUAGGUUCGAUUUUAUUAUCACUUAUCGACUUGGAAAGCAGCAAGGACUAUCUGAUGCCUUAUCGAGGAGAUCGUAUCUUAUACCAAAGGCUGGAAAAGCAGCGUUUGAUCAACAAUGUAUGACAUUGUUGAAGCCAGAGCAAUUUCAGCUUUGCGUUACUAUUAUGCCAAUUGAUGCUGACUUCCUGAAUCAGGUACGUGCCGUAACCAUUGAAGAUUCAGUAGCCAUUGAUAUUAAGCAGCGUGCCAAUGAUGACAAGUUCAAGGUGGAGGGAGAUCUUUUAUACUUUGAAGAGCGGUUAUAAAUCCCAAGAGGACCAGCACGACUCCGAGUUCUUCAAUCUCGCCACGAUUUUCUUGCUGCGGGACAUUGUGGAUUCAACAAGACCUUGGAGCUUAUUUCUCGAGAUUUUUGGUGGCCCCAACUGUGGAAGGAUGAGAAAGAUUUUGUCCUCUCCUGCGACAUCUGUUCAAGAUCCAAGAAUCCUCGGCAUCGCCCUUAUGGACUCCUACAGCCAUUGCCGAUUCCAUGUCGACCAUGGUCUUCAAUUUCCAUGGACUUCAUCACGGACCUACCAUCAUCGAACUCAUUUGACAGCAUCUUUGUCGUGGUAGAUCGGCUUACAAAAAUGGCACACUUUGUCUCUUGCAAUAAGACAUCGUCCAGUGAAGUCACGACAAGGCUCUUUCUCGAUAAUGUGUAUCAAUAUCAUGGACUACCAGAUGAUAUCGUAUCAGAUCGAGGAACCCAGUUCGUAUCGAAGUUUUGGAGAUCUCUCUUUGAGAUACUGAAGGUGGAUAUCAAGCUUUCUUCGGCUUUUCAUCCUCAAACUGACGGUCAAACGGAACGGGUGAACCAAGUCUUGGAACAAUACUUACGAUGCAGCAUCAACUAUCAGUAAGACGAUUGGACCACAUAUCUACCGUUAGCCGAGUUUGCAUAUAACAACACCUUCCAUGCGUCGACUCAAUACACACCAUUCUUUUCCAACUAUGGGUAUCAUCCAAAGCUUGAUUUAUUGAGUCCAUCAACAAAUAACAAUCCAACAGCUGAAGGAUUUGCGAAACAACUAUCAGAGCUUCAAAAUACGUUGAAGCUUCAAUUACAAUCUGCUCAAGAAUCCUACAAGGCGUCUGCAGAUAGAUUUCGGAAUCAAGCACCUACUUUCAAAAUUGGAGAUAAAGCAUGGCUUCUUCGACGGAAUAUCAAGACCAAGCGACCAUGUGAUAAGUUGGACUAUCGAAGAUUGGGACCAUUUAUCAUCCAAAAGCAAAUCAAUCCAGUGGCGUACCGUCUGGAAUUACCGGCUUCUAUGAAGGUACAUCCAGUCUUUCAUGUUUCUUUGUUGGAGCCUUAUCGAGAAUCAUCUUUUCCUGGAAGAGUGCAAUGUCCGCCACCUAGUAUUGAGAUCGAGAACCACGAGGAAUACGAGGUUGAAAAGGUGCUGGAUUCUCGGCUAAGGUGGGACAAGUUGGAGUAUCUUGUUCAUUGGUGCGGCUACGACAUUAAUGAGCGAACGUGGGAGCCAGCUGAAAAUCUCACCAAUGCGCUGCAAAAGGUACAGGAGUUUCAUCAACAACAUCCUCAUAAACCUAAGCCGGUUCAACAAUAGCUUCUUUUUGAAGCUUGCUUACCCAAGAAUAUAAGAAAGGGAGAGAGCACCACUAAAAUUCGUAGUUGAUGUAGUUAUUUUCUCCAAGAUAAAAUAGAAUUUUUUUAGUAGCCAUAGUUUGGUCUUCUGAUAUAAAUAGCCAAGAGAUAGAUACUAUGCCAGUCAGAUUAUCUCAAUCAACUAGUUCACGAAGGCGACCCCGAGAUGAAGAACUACCUACACCACGACGACGACGGAGGAUACCAAGUAACCGAUCACUGGUGAUUGUAUUUGAGUCCGAGCCUGCUUACGAUGGUCAACCAAAAGGCAUAUUUGUAGGACAAUUUCACAAUGAAGAUACGGAAGUUCAUGUUUGGUCAGAAGUUGAAGAAGUGGGCCACUACCGUUGGCUUCAAGGGCCGAUGAACCACUUACCUCGUGAACAACAGUUGGAGUUCAUAGCAGACGUUAUGCGACAGAUCUUCAUUUUCUUGCAUUGAUACUGAUUGACAACAACAUUGCUUCUCAGAGACCUCGAAGCUAAAAGAGGGGGUGAUGUUAGGGACAUAGUCCUUAGAACCUUCUAGAGACAAGUUUCUAGAAUCUUCUAGAGACAAGCUUCUAGAACCUUCUAGAAGCAAGUCUCUGGAACCUUCUAGAAGCUUUUUAGUUGGUAGAAGAUGUUAGGGACAUAGUCCUUAGAACCUUCUAGAGAUAAGUUUCUAGAACCUUCUAGAAGCAAGUCUCUGGAACCUUCUAGAAGCUUCUUAGUUGGUAGAAGUUGCUUGAGAAGCUUCCUAAAGAGGAGUAUAUAUUGGAAUCGAGGCUAAAGAGUUCUUUAGUCUCGACAACACAUCUCUUGGAGCUCUAGCUCACCUCUCUGGUGUUGGUCUUGUAUUCAUCUGAUUAAUCUAGUUCUUGCCAGUUCUUCUUGAACUUCUUGGUAGAUAUCAAGUCUGUAUUCUAUGUCCGUGACAGUUUAUUAAUACUAUAGAUUUUUAAUUAAUAUUUUAUACAAUCAAGGAUCAUAAAUUUUAUCAAGAUUUUAGAAAAUAAUUUUUAACAUAUUAAAGUUUAAUAUCAAAUUAUCUUAAGUUUUUAAUCUUCAAUUUGAUAGACACAUAGAACUUGUAAAUUAAAUAUUAGAAUAGUAUUUGUUAUAUACAAUCAAUUAUUACUAAGUCAAUUAUACAAGUAUUUUAUCAUUAAUAAAUUAUGUAUAUGAUAAUAUUAUAUUUUUUUGUCAAUUAUAGUUAUCAUCUAUAAUUUGAUACUUUUUACUUUUUUAAAAGAUUGAAAAAUCAAUAUUAAAAGAUUUGGCAAGAAAAAUAGCAAAGAUUAACACAAUAAUAAAGAUACAUUAAAAAAAAAUCUCUAUUCAAAGUAUAGUUUUUUUUUUUUUGUUGUAAUAUCAAGAUUAAUUGAUCUUAUUCUAAGUUGCAUUAUUAAAAGCUUAAUCUAUUUAUUAUUUAAAUAUAAAUUAUCAUAAUUUUAUAUUAAUUAUAAUUACUACAAUUAAUAAAUAUUUAUUAUGUAUUUUAUUUUUUUUAUAUUAAGCCUUAAAUCACAAUGAAUAUACCAAAAAGAAAACACUUAUUGCUACAUUCUAUUAAAAUAAGUAGCAACUUAGAGAUUAAAAUUGAAGAAGUUGUUGAGUGAAAGAAAAGUAAAAAAUAGAAGAUAAAUUUUAUAAAUUGACUUGGACAUAAUAUUAAUCAAUGCACAUGAGAGUCAUGUGUGAAUCAUAUAAAUUUAUCAAAAUUUAUUUUUAUUUUUCAUCAACAAUAUCUAUCAAUAUUGAGAAUCAUCCAUUGAUAAUAAGAUGACAUAAAACAAAGAGAAACAAGUCUAAGAAUCAAUUUUUAGUAGUAGUAUUGUAUUGACAUUCAUCUUAGACAUGUGAUGCUACCAAACAUAGUCCUAUUUAUUGCAAUGUCAAAUUAUCUUACACUAAUAUCUUCUGUACCAUUUUAAAUAUAUGCACAUAUGGAUUGGUCCUUAGGAGCAUUUUCUACAAUUGCACCAAUACAAUAUCAUCCAAUGCAUGCAUCAAAUCAAGGCAAUUUUGACACUCUUUCUUUGUAUUCUAGCUUUGUGAAAAAUUCAAAGAAAGGUCACCAAUUCAAUUUAGUGAUUUGCAUGUUCCAUGUUCCACAUGCAUUGCACUUUUUAUAUUGCUUACACAAGAAGUAACUCAAAUCCUCCCUCUACUUGAAAAUCAAGCUUUACACACUUAGGUAGUUACUGAGAUUCUUCUAGUGUGAUUAAAACAGACAAUCUUAUUUUACUUUAUAUAACAAGUCCUUGCUAUAUUUUGGCUAUCUUCGAAAAUGUUAUAAUAUAUUCUGGUUGAAUGAAAUUAUUUCAUUGAAUUUAAACCCAAAAGAUAACUUGUGGUCCACUCAAUUUAUUAUUUUAAAGAGAAAACUAAUGGAUAACACUAGUAACAAGUUGUCAUGAAUCAUUGAAUAACACUAAAACAAUGCUGUAUGAUGGGAAAUGACUGGUUAUAAAUCCUGAUAUCAUCAUAAGUACAUACAAGGUUAAUCAUUUAUCCUUACAGGCUCGAUUGCUAACUCCAAAUUGUAACUGCUGGAAGAAUCUAACAUUUAGUGUGCACUUGCUCUUUCAAGGUGAACAUUUGUACAGCGCAAAUAGGGGGAAGAAAAAUUAACUUCAACUAAAGUAAACAAACAACUCUUGGAAAUCUCAAAAGAAUUGCAUUUAAACGAUCUUAGCCCUUGAAAGGCAAAUUGAUGAGCUUGCGCUCAUCAUAAAUAGUAUAAUAAUAACAAAUAAAAGUAGAGUACCUUCUUACUAUGUCAAUCACUCCAAGCUUGCAACUUAUGUAUUAGUAUUGUUGCUCUGUUAAGAGCAGCAAUAUUCCCUAAGCAAGGUGCUGGCCGCAUACUCUCACUAACUUCAAUCAUUCUAAGACCUGCCUUCUUAACCUCUUCUACGAAGAACACAAGAGUGUCCGGAUUUCGGAUAGCAGUAGCUAUAUAUGCAACAGGGUACUCAUAAACACUACGUUCCAAUUGACUGAUCGUAGCAGGGUGAUCAAGGGACAGAAGAGAAGCCAACACCCUUACAAGGUGAGGAAUAUACGAUGGAUCGUAGAUCAAAUCAGCCCCCAAGCUGCAAAGUCACAAAAUACAGGCUAUAAAAAAAUUUGUUUCGUCAUAUGCAGGGUAAGUCUGAGCAAAAAAAUGUAAGCGACACCAACUUACACCUUUGCAGACCAUUGUCAUGAAGCUCAAUCAGAAGCAAAAUUAAGAGCAAACCAUAAAACCCUAACUAAUGCUCUUUCUUUUAUUUUCACAGAAGCGCUAGCCCAUUAUGUAUGAUGAUGAAAUUAAUUUUUAAACAAUCGGCAAUCUGUACAUGGCGCCAUUUCUCUAAACCAGCACAAACUGCCUGGAACUAUAAGGACAACAUGACACCUUAAGAUCUGCUCUAAGUGAUACAAAGCCAAAAGUGUUGAAAUAAAUCAUCAAUUAUAAACUUACAUGAUGUUAGAUUCCAGAUCGUGUAAUUCUUUGUCACAGAGAGUCUCCCAGAUCAACUGCCGACACUCUACCUGUAGAGAGAAUAAACUUCAAUUAAAAACAUGUUGGUAUUUCGACUGCUAAAACUUGGCAGUGUGAAGGAGAGAAGUCCAAGAACAUGAUCAACAUCUGUUCUUACCCGAGUUGAGGGGUUUGUGUACUGCUGAGAGUCGUUGACUUCUUUCAUUCCUUCCACAGGAAUAUUGUUGAUUGACAAGUUGUGCUUCAUGUUAGCCAACGUAGCCAGAGAACCAUCAGUCAAUAAUACCUGAUCAAACAGAAUUUGGAUUCAGAUGUUUUCCAGAAAAUAUCUGCAUUGAAUCUAGAAAAGACUAUAAAUACAUGCCCCGCCCCCUUUAGCACUAAGUUAAAAUCUAUCCCAAAAGAAAAUUCUAGAUUUGUACUUAAAGGUCUUACACUCUUUAGGCAUACACAUAAACUUUCUAAAACGAGCAUCAACAUCUCAAUUUAGCUGUGUUACGACUAUGAAAAGUGAGAAAAACGUUUCAAUCCGUACCUUAGAUGCACCAAGGCGUGAAAGCAAUACCCCAAUCAUGCCUGCUCCAGCACCUAUCUGUUUCAAUUCAAAGUGGAACUGAGCGUAAUUCAUCAUACACCAAGAGUAAUUCUAAAAGAAAUUGCCUACGAUAAGAGCUCUUACGUGUAUAUAGAGUCAAUAAAAGCUAGAACGUAUUUUAGACAAGUCAACAAAAAUCAAGAUCAAUUAUAAGAGCACAAGUAGAUAGCAUGGGCAACUAGGAAUUCUUUAAACCAUACCUCUAGACAUUUCUGGCCAAAGAACAGCUCUGGAUGACUUAAAACAAAUUCAGAAAGCAAUAAGCCAGCAGGCCAAUCGCUACACCUGUAAUCAUAUGGCAAUUGCAAUAUCAGAUACUAACGUCUUGCACCAUAACGCUCCACUCCAACCCAAUCGCAGGGAUUUCAAAUCGACAGUAAUUGUAAGACACUCAAGGGUGUUUUCGAUUCGCUGCACAAAACCCAACGCCCAACCCCAAUCCCAACCCCAAAACUCUAACUGCCCAUAGUACCGCCACUGGCAUGUACGAAACAGAUAUUGACUUGAUGACACGCAUAGUUGAAAUAAAUGAUAUAAAUAAAUUAUCAUGAAUAGAAAGAGAAAAAAAGAGGGAGAAAAAAAGAGUGGACAAGAGAUAUUGGUCAAGCCUAUUCCACGUCGAUAGGCGUGGAUCCUGAGCACAUACCAACCAUAACGCCACGAAAUCGAAUCACGUCGUGUAUGAUGGCCACGUACCCAGUAUCACCUUCCAACAUGUUCAAGGAUACUCGAAGUGUCACUAGAUGCUCAACCUCUUCCAUGAACUUCUUAGAUCCUGUCUUGCACGCUAAAUACGCUCUUGUUUUGGCAGGAAUAUUGUAAGUGAAGCUUUUGUAGCACUUUGGAGCCAAUUCAGCGGAGCCUUCCUGUUUUGAGUGUGUCCGAUAAAUUUCAAUAUUUCUCUAGCUAUGCAUCAAAGUUCAGAGUAAAAAUGUUCAAAACAUUUCAGUUCAUGCAUACCCACUUCUUGCGGAAGAAAUGUUGUUUCUGUUAUUAACCUAAAUUUAAAUGAAAGAUAUAAGUUGAUUGGUCACCUUAGGCGGCAGCAAAUAGACAGCAUGCAAAUCAUACAACCCAUCCAGAACUUCAUCACCGUCCUUUUCUGCCGCCAGUAUCAUCUGCUUCAGAACACGUCUAAGGUACAACAACCCUGGUGGGUAGCGGUUGCAAGUCUUCACGACCACAAGCGAAGAGAAAUGUUAGAAGACAUUCUCGACGCAAGUUCAUGAACCACAUUCAUAGCAUCCGACAGCUAACUAUGAGAAUAAGACAUCAAUGUAAACACAUGAUUUAACUACAACACGACCUGCAGAUUGCAUUUAAUCAGAACGCUAGGUGAAAAGACUUUCUAACCUCAUCAUGAAGACAUUUCUCAAGGAAAAAUGUUUGGGCAUCACUCGACAAGACCCCCCCUCCGAACCUCCUGUAUUGUAUCGCAUUAUCACGAUUACUAUACGAUAACAAGUAAACCAACCCAUGAAGACAAUUCACGGAAGUGUUUAGCAACAUUAACAGUGACAAAAAUCGCGUCGUGAUAAAUGCUAAGAACUCAGGUACGGGGAGUACUACAUAAAAAAAAAUUAACUAGCGCCGAACUUGCGCUGAACCUGCGCAAAACUUCGUUUCCGAUCGCAAUUUUCCACUCAUUGCCACUAAUCUCAAUUUCGGAUAAAGGUUUCCAAAGCCAAGUUGAAGUGCGAAGCAUAAAGAGAUCUCCAGCAGCUCUUAUGAAGAGUGGUUAGUCCAAGCACUUAUACUAAUAUUUUACUUAUUUAAUUGGAGACAAUCAGCUUCAUGCCCGCAAAAUAUGUGCUCUGCAAACUGAACUACGCCUCUUACGGAGAAGAAAGAAUUUGAGCCCUUCAUACAAUGUUAUUGGACUUAUCAGGAUGGGCGGGUCUAGCACCGCUCGUCAACGCUGCAUUCUUAACGGAGGUUUAUUAAGUGAAAGAAAAAACGGGAAAAAAUAAAACACGGAAAUUGAAUGAAUUGAAUCAAAGAAGCAAAACUCAGAAAAUGCAAAUAAAAACCCAUCGCAUUGACACGACGAGAACAAACAGAAACAAAAACAACAAACCAUGACUCAAAUCUCAUGAAAGAGCCUGGGUAAAAAAAAAACAAAGGAAAUCACAGUGCCUUGCUAGAGAAAUGAUUCGCGACGGCGGCUCCAUGGCACGAAACGCCGCCAGCAGCACCUUGUCAACACGGUCGCUGAAAUCCAUUACCGAGACUCGGAACCUUUGAUCCACCCAAGUUAGCAGUUAAAGAAUAAGGAAUCGCACACACAGCGUGAGCAUCCACCCAAAGUCCAGCCAGGCAAAUCCUUGAACGGCAUCUCAUGAACGCAGUUGACGACGCUGCAACUGGAUAACCCCUCCCCCAUUAUUCAAAGGUUUAGGGCUUAGGGUUGCAGUUCUCUUUACCGCUUGCACCAUCCCCCCCCCCCCCCCCCAGCCGCGUCACAAGCACCCGCCAUCCCCACCUUUAUUCAGUCGCCACGUUGUACACGCCACGAGACCCAGCGAAAUUGUUAAUGAUAUGACGUGGCGAAGGGGAUCCUAGUCAGCCAGAGUUGGGUCUUUGACGCGGCGACCCGCUGUGAAGCCUCCCCCUUAUUAAUGCGGGCACUAGUUAUGGGAUCCUAUCAAUUCUACAUCUUCCAUGUCGGGGAUGUAGAAAAUGACCUCCUAUACUUGCGAGAAUAUUCUAUCUGAAUUAGUAGAUUGUUAUGUCAUUUUCUUUUUAAGCAGGAUCAUCUGAGGUAGAAAAUUCGAAACCCAUUUUAAUUUUUGGUUUUUUUUUUCAAGGAAAGAAGUCGAUUACCUCGUAUGAAUGAUAAUUCGUACGUAUGAAUGAUAUGUAUGAUAUGAAUGAUAUUUACCAUGUGGCCAUCAAGCCUAAUCCAGACGAUCAUGCCAUUGAUGAAGGCUUUAGUCACUGGUAAAUUAAAGCAUCGCCAUUCCCAAGGUCAUUCGAAGGCAAAAGCAGUCAUGGCCUUGGGGAUUCUCUCAACGAGGAGACAGACUUACCACCCCACCACUACAUCCAAGAAAGGAGGAAUCUCCUGUUUUCGAAAGGAUGUCUCAGUUCAUCCACCGACAAGGGAGCUACAUCCAAGACGGGAGUGAGACCAUUCUGGGAGUUUUGUUCAUCCAUCCGCCUCGAAGUGAAGUUGAAGGAAAUGGAGGUAUGGCUUAUCGGAACCCAGGGCUUGGGAUGACGCAGGGCUAGGAGGAAUAAUAAGAUGUCGCCAGUGUCAGAGAGUCGUCAGGUUGCGCAGUGGCUCCGCAGUUGCCCAAUUCGCCUUUUCGAGUUUUCACCUGGCCUACAAAAGGCAAGGCUGCGGACGUUUGUUUUUCUUAAUAUAUAUUUUUUUGUUUUCUUCCUAGUUUUUGAUUUCCACGCUUGUUUUUCUCCCGGAAUACUGUGUACUGCGCUUUUGGAAUGCGGGAGGUCUCUUGCUCCUGUCAUGCCUGGACGCAGCUCUAUGGUUCGUUGAAUGGUUGGGUUCCUGCUUGCGAGGCGUUUUUUAGUUGAAGCAAUUAGUUCCUGGUGCCGUAGAGAUUGGUGUUGUUUCCAGAGUUGUUGUGAAGCGAGUGGGGAGGCCAUUGUUGUUGCUGUUUAGUUGUUCGCCGAGGGGUUGCUGGUAGGUUUUGCCUCAGUGUUGCCGCAACCUGAAGGGGGGAGGCCAGAGCUGUGGUAUUGGAUCGGCGAAGCACUCAAGCGGAGGAACCGAGCGUCUUUGAUUAGUGGGUAAGGGUGGGGGAGGGGAGGGAGGUAUACAGGGCUGCAGAAUUGAAGGCUGAACGUGGGGGAAUAGGGGAGGGCAAGAAGUAGAAGUGGGUGGGAAAGGGGUUAAAGAAAUGUCUUGUUUGUGUGGCAGCGGAUUGUCUUUCAAUCCAUGUAAUGUACAGCCAUCGUCGCGGCCUGUAUCGCAGCCCGUUGUGACGGUAUCUAACUCUGCAUCGCAAUCGUAUGUGUUCUCUUCUAGGGGGAGAUCACCAUCUCUUCCCUCGCUUAAGUCAUCAUUUCUUCAUCCUAUGACUGCUAAUCGCUCCAAUCGAGCGAUCAGGAAAGGUGUCACUUCACCUAGGUUGCAUUGCACCACUUCCCAAGGUGGGAGUUCCUCUUCGUUAAUCCUUUCCUGCCCUAAACUUCUUGUUCGUGGUUUCUCUGAUGUUUUCUAUUAUUCAUUGUCUGUCAGAUUGUUUGCCAGCAAUUGUAACGCUAUGUCAAGGUCAGGUGAAGAUCGCAAAGCUCCCUCUGAAGUUGUCAGUAAUGCUCUGACGACUUUUAAGUGCGACAUUGAAUGUUCUCUAGAUGGAGGCUUGCUUUUGUCCAACCGUGCUUUGGGAAGGUGGAUCCAGAUAUAGAUAAUAGGCUAUCGCGGAUUUGUACGGAUUAGAGAGCUCACAAGCCUGGUCUGUUAGUGGCAGUGUAAACAUUGGGGUUUGUGAAUGUAUGAUCGUAGCCGGGCUUCAAGUAUUACAUCGAUGAGGUAUUUGAAUGGUGACAGCUUCUGAUAGUUUCGAUUGCCAUUUGAUUGUGCUUGCGUUUGCAGCCAGAGAUAUGGACGACUUGGUGGUAUGCUUUGGAGAGCUCCUGAUAGAUUUUGUGCCCACUGUGGGCGGUCUAUCGCUUGCUGAAGCUCCCGCAUUCAAGAAAGCGCCUGGAGGUGCACCUGCCAAUGUUGCUUGUGGGAUAGCUAAGCUUGGCGGAAACGCUGCUUUUGUCGGAAAAGUAUGUCUUCUACUCUCUAAUGGGUUUGAAAUGUCCUUUUGCGUCGUUACUUAUCUUAUGAAGAUACUGCGAGUUUGUUUAAGUGGAAGCGAGUUACCACUCUGAACUCAGAAUUUUUUCAGAAGUUGCGACAUGUACUUCAAUGUUAAAGCGCUAGUUUGCCUCUGCUUACAGCUUCUCUUUGCAUGUAUGUCUUUAUGUUCCUGACCUUAAUUCAUUCGUAUGUUUCCUAGUUAAUUUCUUCGAUUUGGUUGAGAAGCGUAGAAAAUUAAAUCAAUUACUUGGCAGCACCGAGUUUAAGUAAAAUUGGCGUGCACUGGUUGGGCAGUCUUUAUCACAACCAGUUAUCUACUUCAAAUGAUGGUACAAUCAUUUAGAAAUGGUUUUCAACAACUUAAAAAGGACAUUACAGUUGAGCUUGGACAUCUUGUAGGUUGGCGACGAUGAGUUUGGGUACAUGCUUUGCGAAGUUCUCAAGGAUAACAAAGUGCAAACCAAGGGUGUCAGAUUCGAUGCUCAAGCAAGAACAGCCCUCGCUUUUGUUACAUUGCGCGACGACGGGGAGCGGGAAUUUAUGUUUUACCGCAAUCCUAGCGCCGACAUGCUCUUCCAGACAGAUGAGUUGGAUAUUGAGUUGUUGAACCAAGUACUGUUUCCACAAGAAUCUUCCGUCAGAUAUUUGCUCGGUUUUCAUACUUCAACGUCUAUGUUUUCUUGCUGGUUUUCUUUCAUUUUGGUUUGUGGACAUUCUUUAGAAUCCUACUAUGGAAAAAGUAAAUGAAAUUUGAUUUCAAUCUUCAGGCUUCCAUCUUGCAUUAUGGCUCCAUCAGUUUGAUCACAGAGCCAUCUCGCUCGACCCACUUGGAGGCUAUGCGCAUUGCCAAAGAGGCAGGCGCACUCCUGUCCUACGAUCCAAACCUUCGGCUGCCCUUGUGGCCAUCUGCUGACGCCGCAAAAGAGGGGAUAAUGUCGAUUUGGGAUCAGGCUGAUAUCAUCAAGGUUUUUUUACGUAACCAUCUUGCUCAGCUUUGUUUCGGCUUAUAGCCUGAUUAUGGAUAUCUAAUCAAGACUUGUACUAACAUAGAGGACGGCCUUUAAUGAGCCAAGGGUGUAGCGGAAAAUUGUGGGAGAUACCAAGAUUUUGCUUAUAUAGUUGUAUCCGUUCAAUGCUUUUCUUUAUAGGUCAGCGACGAGGAGGUCAUCUUUCUAACUGGUGCAGAUCCCAAGGAUGAUGCCCUCAACCUAAAGAUGAUGCAUCCUGGCUGCAAGUUGAUGCUAGUGACUGAGGGUGGAGAGGGCUGUCGUUAUUACACCCCGGUAAUUCAUGGUUUUCCUUGUCCAAUUGAUUUACAUUCGCUGAAUUCACGUGAAUGGUGUGAUGUGCCUUGAGUAUCAGCACGAAACAUGAAGUCUUUUAUCAAAAGGGAUUGAUAAUCACUUUCUUAAGUCACAUCCUGUGUUUGGAAAUGCAGAAAUUUCAUGGCCACGUGAGUGGUCUCAAGGUUCAACCAGUUGAUACCACUGGAGCCGGUGAUGCGUUUUGUGCUGGUCUUCUGAGCCAGAUUGCUAAGUCUCCAGCCCUCGUUGAGGUAUAAAAAUGCUUUGUACAGGCAGACUUGUUGUUCGGUAUCUUAGACCUGCUGUUAUCUGUUAGUAUAUUUUGAAUACACGUUGGCUAGAAUAUACUUAGACAUUUAAUCACUAGUUAUAUCAAAUUUCCUCUAAAUUGGUCGUGGGAUCACCUGUCUUCAUAUCAGGAAGAUAAUGUGAUAGGUUUGACGAUGAACAUUUUUUUAUGCCACUGAAAUGUUGGCAGGAUGAGGCUAAGUUGCGUGAGGCUCUCUUAUUUGCAAACGCUUGUGGAGCUAUUACGACGACGGAAAGGGGAGCUAUUCCGUCCCUCCCUGACCAAAACACUAUAUCAAGGAUUUUAAGUAAAACUCAUAGGCUCCCUGUUUAAUCAGUUCUUCUCUGCUUCGUUAAUCUCUUAAAUGUUUUAAUUUAAGAGGAAUUAUUAUCACAUAUCGUCACUGUAGUAGUCAAUUAACUUUGAAGCAACGAGCUCAGUGUGAGGUUGUGAAUAUAGUUAUUUUGUUCAUUGCCUUGAGCUUGGAACUUUAUGGAUGUCUGCAAGUGGUAUUUGCUUGUAUCAUUCACAAAUUCAUUAGAAUAAAGAGUUCUAAGUGCACUUGGUUCAUUCGACUUUCUUGUUGGAGGUCAAUCUGGAAUCACAUGCACUCUGGAUUAUUUUGAGUAUAUUUGUGAGGCGGUCUGGGAUUACAUAUACUGUGGAAAACCUCUGGAGAUGUAGCAAGAGGUUUUCUCUUACCUUGCAUUGAAGUAUCACGUACAUGUGUUCCGCGCUUCCUCCUGUAAAGACGUUACUGCUUUCCGUUUCUUAUUUUUUCUUAUUUAUUUAUUUAUUUGCUGAGAAUUAUAUAAGGUUAUUUGGAGUUGAUUUGACAUACUGUGCAAUGUCGUUCCUGUAGCAGGUUUUAUGUAAAUUUCGCGAUAUUCUGCUUUUAAACGGUUUCCUUGUCAGGAGUUUUUCCUAUUUCCCAUGUAAAUGACUAAGAAAGCCAUUCGGUCUCGCGAUAUGUUGAGAUGGAUGUUCCUUUUGCUAACUCGUGGAGUGUUUCUGUUGCUAACAGUUCUUAACUCCAACACGUCGUGCGGAUGGUUUUAGAAAAUAUUAAUCACUUUAAUCCGUUUGAUACCUGUGAUUCUUUUGACCUAUUGCAUUUACUGGUGGUCGAGGUUUAUUCGUGGGAAACAAUUGGGAUGCUGCAGUUUACUACAGCACUACGGAGGCAUCUGAGCCUCAGUAAUUGCCACCAGCAUGUUGUCAUCAAAUGUUUUACAGUGUUUUGGGUGUGUUCUGUCCAGGAAAACCAGCCUAUGUCUUGGUGUCGAAUAAGGAUCCUUCAUGGCAAGGUUACCGAAGGUGGAGACACUAGGACACGGUUGCAAACUUGUCCAAAACUGCUGCGCUGAUUCCUCCAAUAUCAGAAGAUUGAUGGAUAUACGAGUUGUAUAUAUGUGUACACAUAUCAUUUUUUUAUUAGUCCAUUGUGCUGGGACUAAGCAAUGUCAUUAGUAGAGGACAUACUUUUUUUUUAAAAGUAUAUAAUCGUGAUUAUUUUUCAUACAUGCGAAAUAAAACCCAGUAGGGCUAUACACUUCUGGAAGUUCUAAAUUAUGAAAACUCUGUCACUACUGUUUCCAUGGCAAUUAUUACUGAGCUUAUUG